rnacentral:rRNA from 1 species
AUUGAACGCUGGCGGCAUGCCUAACACAUGCAAGUCGAGCGGAUGAAGGGAGCUUGCUCCUGGAUUCAGCGGCGGACGGGUGAGUAAUGCCUAGGAAUCUGCCUGGUAGUGGGGGAUAACGUCCGGAAACGGGCGCUAAUACCGCAUACGUCCUGAGGGAGAAAGUGGGGGAUCUUCGGACCUCACGCUAUCAGAUGAGCCUAGGUCGGAUUAGCUAGUUGGUGGGGUAAAGGCCUACCAAGGCGACGAUCCGUAACUGGUCUGAGAGGAUGAUCAGUCACACUGGAACUGAGACACGGUCCAGACUCCUACGGGAGGCAGCAGUGGGGAAUAUUGGACAAUGGGCGAAAGCCUGAUCCAGCCAUGCCGCGUGUGUGAAGAAGGUCUUCGGAUUGUAAAGCACUUUAGGUUGGGAGGAAGGGCAGUAAGUUAAUACCUUGCUGUUUUGACGUUACCAACAGAAUAAGCACCGGCUAACUUCGUG